CACUGUUAUUUUUCACGUUAUUCACGUUAUUGAUAUCCUCAAACGAAUUUGAAAAAAAAAAGUUACUCAUAUAAGCAUAAGGGUGGUCUAAAAAAACCUUUUUUAUUUUUUUUCCGGUCCUAUCAACUCAACAGUUUCUAGGAGAUAAACAAAAAUUAUCCUGCGAGGGAAUAACUCCAUAUUUUGAUUCUACGAGACGCUCUACGGAUUUUCGUUCUUCCAUAUAAAUAACACCAAAACCAAAAUUAAUAAACAACGACGAAGCGGACGAGACAACCGAGCGGAAGCAAACGUAGGCAACAAGAGACAGUCGACAUCUCAAAUAUCUACAAAUACAUGACUUUGUUAUCAAUAUUGUUAUCGCAGUCGCGUAAAUCCACCGAGACAUAUAUGACGAUCGUUAAACUAGUAGAGAUCGCAAUCAACCAAACUUUAUUAGCGGCACGAUUUUUUUCAACAUGCCAUCAUUCCCACGCACGACACCCAUUAAGAUGGAGAUAAUACGGAUUUCGUUUCUCUGAAGAACGCAAUAAAAUUACCUAACCAGAUGAGGAGAUCGGGGGAUAAAGUCGGGACGAAAGGCCUGAAAACAGUGUUGCACAACGACCGCGACUUCGUACGCACGUACACAAAAUGAAUGACCAACGAACGAGUUUACAGCUCCGGCGAAUUUCAUAUAGACGCCAAGUUUUUAUAUUUCAAUUGUAAAGUAGAACUUUAUAGAAAAAUAAAAUAUAUGCACUAUCGGUA